rnacentral:rRNA from 1 species
GGAUAACAUACCGAAAGGUAUGCUAAUACGGGAUAAUAUAUUUGAGAGGCAUCUCUUAAAUAUCAAAGGUGAGCCAGUACAGGAUGGACCCGCGUCUGAUUAGCUAGUUGGUAAGGUAACGGCUUACCAAGGCAACGAUCAGUAGCCGACCUGAGAGGGUGAUCGGCCACAUUGGAACUGAGACACGGUCCAAACUCCUACGGGAGGCAGCAGUGGGGAAUAUUGCACAAUGGGCGAAAGCCUGAUGCAGCAACGCCGCGUGGGUGAUGAAGGCCUUCGGGUCGUAAAACUCUGUCCUCAAGGAAGAUAAUGACGGUACUUGAGGAGGAAGCCCCGGCUAACUACGUGCCAGCAGCCGCGGUAAUACGUAGGGGGCUAGCGUUAUCCGGAUUUACUGGCGUAAAGGGUGCGUAGGCGGUCUUUCAAGUCAGGAGUGAAAGGCUACGGCUCAACCGUAGUAAGCUCUUGAAACUGGGAGACUUGAGUGCAGGAGAGGAGAGUGGAAUUCCUAGUGUAGCGGUGAAAUGCGUAGAUAUUAGGAGGAACACCAGUUGCGAAGGCGGCUCUCUGGACUGUAACUGACGCUGAGGCACGAAAGCGUGGGGAGCAAACAGGAUUAGAUACCCUGGUAGUCCACGCUGUAAACGAUGAGUACUAGGUGUCGGGGGUUACCCCCUUCGGUGCCGCAG